GGGGAUGUCAUGGAUUUGACAGGAUAUAACCAGUACAUAUAAGCAGUAGUGUUGUAGACUAUAAAUACUACUAGGUUUGAAAAAACGCAGACAAAAACGAAGAAAACUUUGAAAUGCCAGCAUUUAUGAUCAACAAUGCAUCAGCUGGAGCAAACUAUAUGUUUGCUUAAUAACUACUUAGUUUAGUUAUAGUAUUUCACGCAUUAUAGAUAUUUUAGGCUUUAUUUAUAAUCGUAUUACCCAAGUCUAAUAGGAUAUAUGAUUGCAAUAAAUAUAUCUGAAAUUAAUUGCAAAUGGUAUUUAACCUUUAGUUAAUUUUAGUUAGAUACUUUAAUUAGAAAAUUAACUAAACUGUAGAAAGUAUGUAUUAGUGUAUCUUGGACGCGAGUUCGAUUCUCGCCAUCUCCACCA
rfam:Mycoplasma mycoides subsp. mycoides SC str. PG1, complete genome.